AUGAUUCAGGUUAUGCAAAACUUCAAAAAAAAGAAGAAUUGAAACUUCAAUACAGUCCCAAAAAGGAGCACUUGAUAAUUUUUUAUCAAGUAAUAAAAAUUCUAAACUAGAAAAUAUGGGAGAAUGUUCUUUGAAUGAGCAAGUUACUAAUCUAGUUGAGUUAGACGAUAAUAAAAUCCAAGAAAAAGAAGAAGCUAGUGAGAAAUCUGACAUAGAUCCUCAAAAAAAUCAAAAACUUUUAAAUGAAUUGAAUACUUGCAUUCCUAUAAAUAUGUAUGAUCCUAAUCAAUGAACUAAUAUAGAUUCAAAAAGCUAAAAAUAUAAUCUUUAAAUAAAAAGAAUAUAUUAUAAUUUUUUUUAGAAGAACUUAAGGUCCCUAAUUACAGUUUGGCUUUAGGCCCCAAACUCUGUUGAGCCGCCUCUGCCAUAGACCCCUAACUUCAAUAGUGUUGGUGUCAGAAGAAUCAAAGCCUUGAUAGGUUGAUUUAGCCUUCAAAAUUUCUGCACAAAAUCUCAGCUUUUACUAUCAUGCACACAGUAAACAAAGAUAUUAUAUAAUAAAAGCAUUCAUUAUUUACACUUCCAUCAAGUGAUCGAUAUAUAUAGAUCCCCAGAUGUAUUUGUAGGGCAGACCCGGUCUUAUAUUAAUGGAACGAAUACAAGUUGUUGCUUUGGCGGAG
rnacentral:lncRNA from 1 species